GUGACAUCUCAGAGGAGGUUGAAUUUCACAAGGAUCUUAAAAGAUAAACAAGAGUUUGUCAAAGCAAAAAGGAAAUGAAGAGUUGCAGCAGUUACUGUGGAGUUACUACCCAUAUCUGUUGGACUCACCAUCCAGGACAUUUCACAGCUGCCUACUGCAUGCACGUAUGACUCUCAGCCUGAGGUUUGCUUUCUAAAGUGAGCUGGGCAUGCAGCAAGGGCUGAAGAGAUAAAGCUCUGGGAGGAGCCCUCAGCCAGUGGUGGGUAGGAGUUGGAGGAUAAAUGCCCUAAUUUCUUUGCCCCUCAAGUGGAACAACUUAGAGCCCUAGCAGUGUUUCCUGAGAUCACCUCCCAAACAAUUGCAUCUGGAAUCCUUCACUCAUGUCUACUUCUGGGAGAAGCAUCUAAGACAGUCAUGGUCCAUAAAACAGCAGCAACAUGAACAAAGACACAGGGCUCAACUGUACCAGGCAAAUGAAGGGAGAUGGAGAGAUUGAAGCAAGAGCUAAAACUAUCCACCAGACUGCAGUCCAUUGUGAGUAGGUUGAGAGGAAAUUGAGCUGCCAAGACAUAUGAAACUCCUGGUGGAGAUUUGGAGGAAGAUGAAUGGUACUUAAGUAACAAGAAGACCGUGAAAUCAAACCAUUAAAAGACAAUUUCAAGACUAGUCACUUCCCUCACCUUCUAUUCACUGUGAUAAAGCCCCCAAAAGUCAUUGGAUGCUUCCUUUGAUGUUGCUUCAGCUGGUGUGUUGACUUUGUUAGCACUCUCUAUUGGGCAUAGAGGUGCUCCUUACAAAUGCUCUCUAGGAGUAAAUGGGCAUGAGGAGGCUCCAUCACCUUCUUCCUAUUUUCUCUGUUGUUUUCCAGCCUUGGGGACAAAGCUGGGAUUCUUAGGGCCGAAGUCAUCAAGGUUGCCUGCAGGUGUGCCUAGAAGAGAUAUGGUUUCAGCAAGCCUUCUUCUCUCUGAUUUCUAAAAGGUUUUUUCAUCUAAUCUGAGGUCCCUGUCACUUUCUACCCUACCUCAUCCCAGAAUUGAGGUCAGAAUGGACUUGUGUGGGAUUUUGGCCCAUGUAGCAGUGUGCCUUUAAAUCUGGUGCUGGCAGUGGUAGCGGUGAUGGUGGGUGUCACCUAGGAUGGCAUAAAUUUCUCCUUCUGUGCCCAAAGCCCACCUUUCCAUUCUUUAGUUUUUAGUUUAAAAUUUAACUCUAAUCAUACAAAUUACAGGAAAGUACAUUCUUCUUGUGAGAAGUUAAAUCAAAACACAACUGAUAAAGUUAAAGACCUCUUUGACCAACAGUUCUUACCCCCUGGCAGCCCCAGAGGUAACACCUACUGCAGGGAAGGUGUGUAUUCCUCCAGUU
rnacentral:lncRNA from 1 species